UACGGGGGGGGCAAGCGUUGUUCGGAAUUACUGGGCGUAAAGGGUUUGUAGGUGGCUUGCUAAGUCAGACGUGAAAUCCCUCAGCUUAACUGGGGAACUGCGUCUGAUACUGGAUGGCUUGGAUUCGGGAGAGGAAUGCGGAAUUCCAGGUGUAGCGGUGAAAUGCGUAGAUAUCUGGAGGAACACCGGUGGCGAAGGCGGCAUUCUGGACCGAUAUUGACGCUGAGGAGCGAAAGCCAGGGGAGCAAACGGG
rnacentral:rRNA from 1 species